rnacentral:rRNA from 1 species
UACGAAGGGGGCUAGCGUUGCUCGGAAUUACUGGGCGUAAAGGGCGCGUAGGCGGCAAUGUUAGUCAGGCGUGAAAGUCCUGGGCUCAACCUGGGAACUGCGCUUGAUACGGCAGAGCUAGAGGAUGGAAGAGGGUCGCGGAAUUCCCAGUGUAGAGGUGAAAUUCGUAGAUAUUGGGAAGAACACCGGUGGCGAAGGCGGCGACCUGGUCCAUUACUGACGCUGAGGCGCGACAGCGUGGGGAGCAAACAGG